GUUUCUGUAGUUAAGGGUUUAUUAACGGCGGUUUUUCAGGCCGCAGACCUUGGAUAAUAUCCAAGUAGAAACU
rnacentral:tRNA from 1 species